CGGAUAAAAAAAAUUACCCAUUAAAAUUUCGGGUAUAGGUCCGGAUAUUUUAUACCCAUACCCGAUUUGGACCCGACCCGAACCUAACUUUUAAAUGGGUAGGGUCCGGAAUAGUUUUCAAAUCCGGACCCGGACCCGGACCCGAUGAAAUAUCCGAUAGUAAAUAAAAAAAAAUAAACUUUUGAAGUUGAAGGAUCAAUUUUAAUAUGACUUAUAGAUGAUGAGUCACUAUGUAUUUUCAUCCUAAUGAAACCCUAGCCGUCUCUUUUACUCAUUACUUUUUUCUAAUUUUUUUACUCUUUGUUUUCUACUCUUUUUUUUCAUUUCAUUUCCGCCAACAAUAUUUCAUUGUCAACAAUAUAGUUUGUUUAUUGACUAUUUAAUAAAGUUUAUAAAAAAAUAUAUUUAUACGGAUAUCCGUACCCGAUUUAGACCCGAUCCAUAUCCGAUUUUGAACGGGUAGUAUACGGGUAGUCACUAUCCAGACCCGCUCAAAUGGACCCGAUGGGUAUAU
rnacentral:lncRNA from 1 species